GCCCGCAGGCUCGCUUCGCCGCGGCGGGGGGAGGACGGGACGGAGGAUGCCGCGGCCCCUCCUAGCCGGCUGCCCCCCGCCUCGGCGGGGCCGGGGCGGCAGCGGGGAGAUCUCCGCUGCCGAGGGGGCUGACGGCUGGGGUCGGAGCCGACCCGCGGGAAGCGCGGAGCGGCCGCGCACCGAGCGCGCACUGACAGCGGGGCAGACUCCUCCUCUCGCCGCGCUUAACUCUUGCCUCCACCGGCACCGGCACGCUGCGGCCGCGGGAGGGGAGAGCGGCGGCCGCCCCGAGUCCACCCUCCGGUCGUGUCCCCCCCCCCAGCCCCGCGGCAGGGCUCGCCCCCGCCCGCCCCGCGGAGGUGCCGACCCCGACGGGAGCCGCGGGCAUCCCCGAGGGCUGCGCGGCCGCGGAGCCGCCGGUGCCGGCCCAGCGCUGCCGCAGGGCUCCGCCGGGCCCGGGGAAGCCGCCCGCGACCGCCCCGAGCCCCCGACCUGGGCAGGCGGCGGAAGGGUUAAGCGGCCGGGAGGUUAGUCAGCGAGACUCCUGGGGUGAUGGCUUGGAAGAGGAGAGUCCCUCUGGCUGAAGUUUAAAGGAGGUUUCUCCAGACGGGAGUCGUAUCGCCUUCGCGGAGCGCUUCGAACCAAACCUAAAGCCAGUCCCGUCCCUUCCCCGAGGGACCUUCUCGCCAUGAAACCCUUCCUGCCUACCCAGCCGAGCUGCCUGCGAGCGAGCUAAAACCGGCAGGAGAAACCAGCGGGCCCGAGGAGUGACCUACAGAGACCCCCGGGCAAGGGAAGCGCGCAGGAGGGCACACACACAGCACACAGACACACAGCGCGGGAGUAAGACCCUACCUUGAUCCAUAGACCUCAUGAUGUGGUGAUCCAUUUAGAAGAGAGAGGAGCAACCCCAUGGAUUUCCACUGAUACACGUGGAGCUUAGCAAGAAUGAAAUAGCCAAGGAAGCCUCCGAAACCAAGACAACCCGUGUGUGUUUACACGUACUAUGUAUAAACAGGAAAAUAAAGCAAAAGAAAACAGGAAAAUAAAGAUGUCGUGAACUGUG